rnacentral:rRNA from 1 species
UACGUAGGGUGCGAGCGUUGUCCGGAAUUAUUGGGCGUAAAGAGCUCGUAGGCGGUGUGUCACGUCGGCCGUGAAAACCUGCAGCUUAACUGUGGGCGUGCGGUCGAUACGGGCAUCACUGGAGUUCGGCAGGGGAGACUGGAAUUCCUGGUGUAGCGGUGAAAUGCGCAGAUAUCAGGAGGAACACCGGUGGCGAAGGCGGGUCUCUGGGCCGAUACUGACGCUGAGGCGCGAAAGCUAGGGGAGCAAACGGG